UACGUAGGGAGCAAGCGUUGUCCGGAAUCAUUGGGCGUAAAGCGCGCGUAGGCGGUCCUGUAAGUCCGUUGUGAAAGUCCAAGGCUCAACCUUUGAAAGCCGAUGGAUACUGUGAAGCUAGAGUCCGGAAGAGGCGAGUGGAAUUCCUGGUGUAGCGGUGAAAUGCGCAGAUAUCAGGAGGAACACCGGUGGCGAAGGCGGGUCUCUGGGCCGAUACUGACGCUGAGGAGCGAAAGCGUGGGGAGCGAACAGG
rnacentral:rRNA from 1 species